rnacentral:tRNA from 1 species
CGUUCUAUGGCCGAAUUGGUAAAGGCAUCACUGAUCACGGGCGAGGUUGCGGGUUCGAGUCCAGCUGGAACUG